CAUUAUUGAAAUAAAACUUGGUAUGAGGUUGUUGCUGGCUCUUCGGAGCAACGUGCACACCUUUACACCUUUUUUUCAACCCCCCCCGGUGCACUUGGGGUAAACUGGAACAAAACUGGUAUCGAAAUUCUCUACGGAUGGAAAAUGGCGGUACUUAUAAAGUCCSUUUUUCUGGCUUCUUUCCCAGUCUACAUCUUUAACACAAACUCUGAAUGUAUUUGGAAUGUUUUAAAGGACACUAGUUGUCUUUGUAUAAAUUUAAAAUACAACUUUCAACAACGGAUCUCUUGGCUCUCGCAUCGAUGAAGAACGCAGCGAAAUGCGAUAAGUAAUGUGAAUUGCAGAAUUCAGUGAAUCAUCGAAUCUUUGAACGCACCUUGCGCUCCUUGGUACUCUGAGGAGCAUGCCUGUUUGAGUGUCAUGAAAUUCUCAAGCUUCGCCAGUCUGGUAAAAGCUUGGAUUUGUGGAAGCUGCUGGCAAUCAGAGUCCGCUCUUCUUAAAAGCAUUAGCAAAAAUCMAAAUUGSUARAWUAUCAAUGAUAUGAUWAUUUCSUCYUGKCAUUGAAAACUARUCUCGGAAAGARAAUUUUGSUUCYAAUUAUCUCUUAUGAGAAAAUCACUUGACCAUUUUGACCUCAAAUCAGGUAGGACUACCCGCUGAACUUAAGCAUAUCAAUAAGCGGAGGAAAAGAAACUAACAAGGAUUCCCCUAGUAACUGCGAGUGAAGCGGGAAAAGCUCAAAUUUAAAAUCUGGUAGUCUUUUGAUUAUCCGAGUUGUAAUCUAGAGAAGCGUUAUCCGCGCUGGACCGUGUAUAAGUCUUCUGGAAUGGAGCGUCAUAGAGGGUGAGAAUCCCGUUUUUGACACGGACUACCAGGGCUUUUGUGAUACGCACUCAACGAGUCGAGUUGUUUGGGAAUGCAGCUCCAAAUGGGUGGUAAAUUCCAUCUAAAGCUAAAUAUUGGCGAGAGACCGAUAGCGAACAAGUACCGUGAGGGAAAGAUGAAAAGAACUUUGGAAAGAGAGUUAAACAGUACGUGAAAUUGUUGAAAGGGAAACGCUUGAAGUCAGUCGCAUUGGCUGGGGAUCAACCUCGCUUUUAGCAAGGUGUACUUCCUGGUUAAUGGGUCAGCAUCAAUUUUGAUCAAUGGAAAAAGGUCGAGGGAAUGUGGCAUCUUCGGAUGUGUUAUAGCCCACGGUUGCAUACAUUGAUUGGGAUUGAGGAACUCAGCACGCCGCAAGGCCGGGUU
rnacentral:rRNA from 1 species